AGCAUGCUAUCUCCAGUCUGCCUGACCAUCUGUUUCCUGGACUCUACGUUUUGUGCAUUCACCCCUAUCUCGGUCCUUUAGGAGCCUUGUCAGAGGGAAACUUCACAACCGCCAAGCCAACCAUGCAGGGAAUGCUGAGGGAAGGUCACCUCUUGGUACUCUGCUGCUGGCACCUGGGGCUCUCCAGAUGCUGCCCCUUUCUUUUGGGACGACAGCAGGGAUGGACACUGCAGCUUCUGGUCUUGGCUUCCCUCCAUUAAGUGAACACCACAGCGGAAAGGAAGUUUGGUUCCCACGUCAGCGUCUUUUGUUUAUGAACGAGGAAGUUGUAGGGAAGGAGAUGUGACUCAUCCGUAGACACUCAGCGGGCUGACGGCAGAGCCAGAACCAGAACCUGGAGACCAAUGCUCGCCCUGGUUCCCUAGAGAUCCUGGCACUGAUUUACCCCUUCUGGUGUUCAGAGAAAACAAUCUUAAAAAUAAGUAGCCGGACCAGCGUGAAAGCACUCUGAGGCCAGGAAUGACUGAGACAUGAAAGCAUCUUCUGUGGGAGUUCACCUAUCCGGAAAGUGGGGAGAUGGGCAGGUGACCCGGAGGAAGGAAAGCAGCAGAGCAGAACUGUCAAUGCCUAGGGAACAGCAAGGAAGAUGACAUCCGUGCUCUUAAGACAUAUGGCAAAGGCUGGAGGCACAAGCAGGCAUCGGCCAGGCUGUCAUCCGGCCCCGAUGGCAAGUUCCCACUGAUCUAUCAACCCUAAGGUUCAUCCAAAGCUUGCUGAAUCUAGGACCACACCCUUUCCAUAUACACAUUGUACUUCCUACCUCUGGGCCUUUGAAUAUCAAUUACAAUCCGCUGUAUCUAUGGGAAAACUCCCUUUUAAACACACACACACACACACACACACACACACACACACACACACACACACACUCUACUUUGCAAUCACCUUUCUCUUCCUAUGCUACUGUCUUCUCAUCUUGAACUUCCGGGACAGACUGCAGUCUCUCUUUUGCAUUAUAAUUAUUUGGAAAUGGGGCUGAUAUUCCCCAGUCAAUAUCACGAACUCCUCUAGGUCUGCUCAGGUAUUUUUUUUAAUCUUUUCUUUCAUUCAAUGGGUAUUUACUGAGCACAUUCCACAGACUAGGUGUCAUGAUCCUUGACUGCUGGGUCUUAGUGCCCUACAGGGACACAGGCCUGCUAAAGGACACCUGCGUGAGGGCAUGCUCACAGGGGCCAGGCUCAGAGCUCUUUAUCUAGUUGUGCAGGGGUUGGGGAGGUAGCCAGGGAAGGCGUCCUAGGAAAUGUUGCAUCUAUAGGAAGCCACGAAGGCCGAGCAGGAGCACAUGCACACACAAAAGCCGGGGAAACUUUAGAAGAAGAGGCUGCCUAGCUGUCUAAAUGAGCAUCUUACUAGUGAGUCUUCCAAGCCCAGAGGAAAGGCUUUGCUGAAAGGCGUAGGCAGCCUGCAGUGGUGUCCAAGCCCUUUCGGCUCCCGGGGCACUUAGUACACUGCUGGACACCAGAUAUUUAGAAGGAGUGAAUGAUAACAACCUCUUGGACUGCAUUCUCACUUAGCAUUCUGUUUACUGCUCAGAUGCACAACCAAGCUCCUCGUCCCAACUGAAGGACAAACAGAACUUGGGGCUCUUCAAGGAGAAGAGUGGCUGGCAGUGUCUUGACACUGGAAUGCAUUUACCGAGACAAGUGACACAGCCUGAGGUCAUGUCCUGACAGGACCACUAGAGAACAGCCGAUGAAUGCUAGGAAAAUACCACGGACAAGUAUGAAAAGAACCCCCAGCCUGCCCUGCUCUAGGUAGCUCUCAAUCAGAGCAUCAGAGAGCCAUCCCGGAAGGGCUGUGUGCCGUCGACACAGCUGAGGAUGAAAACUCCAAACUGAGUUUGAAAGCUUAGAUACCUGCGGG